rnacentral:tRNA from 1 species
GGUUUGGUAGUUCAGUUGGUGAAAAGUCUGCUUAACACGCAGAAGGUCGCCAGUUUAAGUCCGGUCCAGAUCC